rnacentral:rRNA from 1 species
GGCCUAACACAUGCAAGUCGAACGGCAGCACAGCAGUAGCAAUACUGUGGGUGGCGAGUGGCGGACGGGUGAGGAAUACAUCGGGAUCUACCCGGUUGUGGGGGAUAACGUAGGGAAACUUACGCUAAUACCGCAUACGACCGAGAGGUGAAAGCGGCGGACCGCAAGGCGUCGCGCGAUCGGAUGAACCGAUGUCGGAUUAGCUAGUUGGUGGGGUAAAGGCUCACCAAGGCGACGAUCCGUAGCUGGUCUGAGAGGAUGAUCAGCCACACUGGAACUGAGACACGGUCCAGACUCCUACGGGAGGCAGCAGUGGGGGAUAUUGGACAAUGGGCGCAAGCCUGAUCCAGCCAUGCCGCGUGUGUGAAGAAGGCCUUCGGGUUGUAAAGCUC